GGUUCGAUCAUGGCUCCAGAUUGAACGCUGGCGGGAUGCUUUACACAUGCCGAGUCGAACGCGGCAGCACGGACUUCGGUCUGGUGGCGAGUGGCGAACGGGUGAGUAAUGUAUCGGAACGUACUAGUAGCGGGGGAUAACUACGCGAAAGCGUAGCUAAUACCACAUACGCCCUUCGGGGGAAAGCGGGGGACCUUCGGGCCUCACUAUUAGAGCGGCCGAUAUCGGAUUAGCUAGUUGGUGGGGUAACGGCUCACCAAGGCGACGAUCCGUAGCUGGUUUGAGAGGACGACCAGCCACACUGGGAUUGAGACACAGCCCAGACUCCUGCAAGGAGGCAGCAGUGAAAUUUACGGACAAUGAAGCCACCACAAUCCAGCCAUCCCGCGUGUGCGAUGAAGGCCUUCGGGUUGUAAAGCACUUUUGGCAGGAAAGAAACAGCGGGAUAAUACCCCGUGCAACUGACGGUACCUGCAGAAUAAGCACCGGCUAACUACCAUUGCCAGCAGCCGCGGUAAUACGUGGGGUACAGCGUUAAUCGGAAUUACUGGGCGUAAAGCGUGCGCAGGCGGUUCGGAAAGAAAAGAUGUGAAAUCCCAGAGCUUAACUUUAGACUGCAUUUUUAACUACCGAGCUAAGAAUGUGUCAGAGGGAGGUGGAAUUCCGCGUGUAGCAGUGAAAUGCCGUGAUAUGCGGAGGAACACCGAUGGCGAAGGCAGCCUCCUGGGAUAACACUGACGCUCAUGCACGAAAGCGUGGGGAGCAAGCAGAGUUAGAUACCCUGGUAGUCCACGCCUAAACGAUGUCAACUAGCUGUUGGGGCCUUCGGGCCUUGGUAGCACCAGCUAACGCGUGAAGUUGACCGCCUAGGGAGAAUACGGUCGCAAGAUUAAAACUCAAAGAAUUGACGGGGACCCGCACAAGCGGUGGAUGAUGUGGGAUUAAUUCGAUGCAACGCGAAAAACCUUACCUACCCUUGACAUGUCUGGAAUCCCGAAGAGAUUUGGGAGUGCUCGCAAGAGAACCGGAACACAGGUGCUGCAUGGCUGUCGUCAGCUCGUGUCGUGAGAUGUUGGGUUAAGUCCCGCAACGAAGCGCAACCCUUGUCAUUAGUUGCUACGAAAGGGCACUCUAAUGAGACUGCCGGUGACAAACCGGAGGAAGGUGGGGAUGGCCGUCAAGUCCUCAUGGCCCUUAUGGGUGGGCUUCCCACGUCAUACAAUGGUCAGGACAGAGGGUCGCCAACCCGCGAGGGGGAGCCAAUCCCAGAAACCCGAUCAUUAGUCCGGAUCAUGAUGCAACUCGACUGCGUGAAGUCGGAAUCGCUGGUAAUCGCGGAUCAGCAUGUCGGUGAAUACGUUCCCGGGUCUUGUACACACCGCCCGUCACACCAUGGGAGUGGGUUUUACCAGAAGUAGUUAGCCUAACCAUGAGGGCGAUUACCACAAUUGCGUUCAUGACUGGGGUGAAGUCGUAACAAGGUAG
rnacentral:rRNA from 1 species